AGUGAACGCUGGCGGUAGGCCUAACACAUGCAAGUCGAACGGCAGCACAGUAAGAGCUUGCUCUUACGGGUGGCGAGUGGCGGACGGGUGAGGAAUACAUCGGAAUCUACUUUUUCGUGGGGGAUAACGUAGGGAAACUUACGUUAAUACCGCAUACGACCUACGGGUGAAAGCAGGGGAUCUUCGGACCUUGCGCGAUUGAAUGAGCCGAUGUCGGAUUAGCUAGUUGGCGGGGUAAAGGCCCACCAAGGCGACGAUCCGUAGCUGGUCUGAGAGGAUGAUCAGCCACACUGGAACUGAGACACGGUCCAGACCCCUACGGGAGGCAGCAGUGGGGAAUAUUGGACAAUGGCGCAAGCCUGAUCCAGCCAUACCGCGUGGGUGAAGAAGGCCUUCGGGUUGUAAAGCCCUUUUGUUGGGGAAGAAAAGCAGCAGGUUAAUACCCCGCUGUUCUGACGGUACCCAAAGAAUAAGCACCGGCUAACUUCGUG
rnacentral:rRNA from 1 species